rnacentral:misc_RNA from 1 species
UCAGUGAAUUUAUCGGUGGUAAAUCGAGCGGACGAUACACGAGAAUUUUUCCUAUCUUUCCUCUGUCCCACUCUCGUAUUCUACCUUCGAUCUAUUCUUUAUCAGCGAAUGCGUCGAAAUCGAGUUAACGAUAAGAAUACACCACGUACUUUCUGAUGGAAAAUACACUGCUUACUCGUAUGACGUAACGCUAAAAAUUACAAGAACACGCAAGAAGCGUGAAUUUCAAUUAUAUACAUGUAUACGUUGUUUCGAACGAAACGUUACACGAAUUUAUUCAUGGAGAAUUCCCUUAUGGCGAAGGGAAAUCGUUG